rnacentral:ncRNA from 2 species
GAGGAAGCCCGGUGCGAAUCCGGCGCGGUCCCGCCACUGUGAGCCCGGCCGACACCCCGGCCGGGCGAGUCAGGAACUC